AACGAACGCUGGCGGCAUGCCUAACACAUGCAAGUCGAACGAGACCUUCGGGUCUAGUGGCGCACGGGUGCGUAACGCGUGGGAACCUGCCCUUAGGUUCGGAAUAACUCCCCGAAAGGGGUGCUAAUACCGGAUAAUGUCUUCGGACCAAAGAUUUAUCGCCUUUGGAUGGGCCCGCGUUGGAUUAGCUAGUUGGUAGGGUAAAAGCCUACCAAGGCGACGAUCCAUAGCUGGUUUGAGAGGAUGAUCAGCCACACUGGGACUGAGACACGGCCCAGACUCCUACGGGAGGCAGCAGUGGGGAAUAUUGGACAAUGGGCGAAAGCCUGAUCCAGCAAUGCCGCGUGAGUGAUGAAGGCCUUAGGGUUGUAAAGCUCUUUUAACCGGGAUGAUAAUGACAGUACCGGGAGAAUAAGCUCCGGCUAACUCCGUG
rnacentral:rRNA from 1 species